rnacentral:lncRNA from 1 species
UUAAGCAUGAAUGAAAUAGUAAACUUCUUCCCCAAUUCCCUCAUCUCUUCUCACCUCAGCCGCUUUCUCUAUCCCUAUCCCCACUCUUACCUUUUCUCUAUCUCUAUCCCUUCUCUUCCUCUUCUCUUACCUCAAAUCCUUCUCAAUUUCUUUACCCAACUUACUGAAUUGGCAAUCGUAGUAUACCCAUCAUCCAAGUCGCCUUACGCACCUCAGCAAGUUCUCAUCCUUGGUGGUUGCGACGAGUCCGGGAUACUACACCAACCUCCACUGUGGCCGCCAUCACCGCCAUGACCGCUGCCGUCGUGGUCCACACCGACGGCGCUGCCGCGACCACUGCUGUCACAGCCCAAGCCAUUGCCGCCUCUGUCGAAACCCCAUUUUGAUGAGAGAGAGAGAGAAGAGAAGGGGCAUAGCAGAGAGAGAAAGAGAAUGGAGAGAAAGAGAGAAAGAUUAUGGGAGAGGGGGACAGAGGAGGGUACAGCUGGAAGAGAAGAGAGAGUGAAAGGAGAUGAGAGGGGGUAGAGAGAGAGAGAGAGGAGAGAGAGAGAGGGGGUAGAGAGAGGGAGGGGAAUAUCUGGAGAGGAAGAAAGAGAGAGAGGAGGAGAGAGGGGGUUAGAGGCGGGGGCUAGCUGUACCUUAGCAGGGAAGAGAGAGAGAAAGAGAGGAGGAGAAAUGGGGAGAGAGAGCUUGUAUGAAGCUGCCACGUGGAAACAGCAAAGGAAAACGCGACACGUGUAUGGUAGAACUGUCAAAUUAAAUAGAGUAAGAUAUAUAGAGAGAGACCGACCGUCCCUAGAGCAAGU